rnacentral:rRNA from 1 species
AGAGUGAACGCUGGCGGCAGGCCUAACACAUGCAAGUCGAACGGCAGCACAGAGGAGCUUGCUCCUUGGGUGGCGAGUGGCGGACGGGUGAGGAAUACGUCGGAAUCUGCCUAUUUGUGGGGGAUAACGUAGGGAAACUUACGCUAAUACCGCAUACGACCUACGGGUGAAAGCGGAGGACCUUCGGGCUUCGCGCAGAUAGAUGAGCCGACGUCGGAUUAGCUAGUUGGCGGGGUAAAGGCCCACCAAGGCGACGAUCCGUAGCUGGUCUGAGAGGAUGAUCAGCCACACUGGAACUGAGACACGGUCCAGACUCCUACGGGAGCAGCAGUGGGGAAUAUUGGACAAGU